rnacentral:misc_RNA from 1 species
AACCUUUCAACUAUUCUAAUUUUUCAAUUGGAAUGAAGUUGGACUUUUGGAGGGUUGCUAGAAGCAAUGCUUACUGGCUCCUCUUGAAUAGAUAAGGUGAUGGGUCCCCUUUACCAUUGGCAUGAUAAGUUAUCUGUUGAUGCUAGGGGAGUUGUUAUCUCUGUGACAUUAGUUAUUAUCAU